rnacentral:rRNA from 1 species
CCUACGGGGGGCAGCAGUGGGGAAUUUUCCGCAAUGGGCGCAAGCCUGACGGAGCAAUACCGCGUGAGGGAGGACGGCUUUUGGGUUGUAAACCUCUUUUGUUUGGGAAGAAGGUCUGACGGUACCAAACGAAUCAGCAUCGGCUAACUCCGUGCCAGCAGCCGCGGUAAUACGGAGGAUGCAAGCGUUAUCCGGAUUUAUUGGGCGUAAAGCGUCCGCAGGUGGUUGUUCAAGUCUGCUGUUAAAGCGUCCAGCUUAACUGGAUAUCGGCAGUGGAAACUGAAUAACUAGAGUACGGUAGGGGUAGCGGGAAUUCCCAGUGUAGCGGUGAAAUGCGUAGAUAUUGGGAAGAACACCAGCGGCGAAAGCGCGCUACUGGGCCUGAACUGACACUGAGGGACGAGAGCUAGGGGAGCGAAAGGGAUUAGAUACCCUAGUAGUC